rnacentral:rRNA from 1 species
AUGCUUUACACAUGCAAGUCGAGCGGCAGCGCGGGGCAACCUGGCGGCGAGCGGCGAACGGGUGAGUAAUGCAUCGGAACGUGUCCAUGUCGUGGGGAUAGCCCGGCGAAAGCCGGAUUAAUACCGCAUACGCCCGAGAGGGGAAAGUGGGGGACCGCAAGGCCUCACGCGAUUGGAUCGGCCGAUGUCCGAUUAGCUAGUUGGCGGGGUAAAGGCCCACCAAGGCGAUGAUCGGUAGCUGGUCUGAGAGGAUGAUCAGCCACACUGGGACUGAGACACGGCCCAGACUCCUACGGGAGGCAGCAGUGGGGAAUUUUGGACAAUGGGGGCAACCCUGAUCCAGCCAUUCCGCGUGAGUGAAGAAGGCCUUCGGGUCGUAAAGCUCUUUUGUCCGGAACGAAACGGGUAGCGUGAAUAUCGCUGCCUACUGACGGUACCGGAAGAAUAAGCACCGGCUAACUACGUGCCAGCAGCCGCGGUAAUACGUAGGGUGCGAGCGUUAAUCGGAAUUACUGGGCGUAAAGCGUGCGCAGGCGGUUUUGUAAGUCUGUCGUGAAAUCCCCGGGCUCAACCUGGAAAUGGCGAUGGAGACUGCAAGGCUAGAGUUUGGCAGAGGGGGGUAGAAUUCCACGUGUAGCAGUGAAAUGCGUAGAUAUGUGGAGGAACACCGAUGGCGAAGGCAGCCCCCUGGGUCAAGACUGACGCUCGUGCACGAAAGCGUGGGGA